rnacentral:misc_RNA from 1 species
UUUCCGUAGGUGAACCUGCGGAAGGAUCAUUAACGAGUUAGGGUCUUCUAGGCCCGACCUCCCAACCCUUUGUUUACCGAACCAUUGUUGCCUCGGUGGGUCCGUCUUACGACCGCCGGGGGAUCGCCGCGAGGCGCCCCCUGGCCAGCGCCCACCGAUAGCCCAGCCUUUAAAACCCUUUGUGAAUCGUGUCUUAUGUCUAAAUUUAUGAUUAAACAACCAAAACAAAACUUUCAACAACGGAUCUCUUGGUUCUG